CGGUAAUACGUGGAAGACUAGUGUUAUUCAUCUUUAAUAGGUUUAAAGGGUACUUAGACGGUAAAUUAAGCCCAGAUAAAAACAAAGGGUACUAAUUAUACUAGAGUUUGAUAAGAGGAGGGUGUGUACUAGUGGUGUAGAGAUGAAAUUCAGUCAUACCAUUAUGACAGGCAACGGCGAAAGCAACCUUUAGAUAAAAACUGACGUUAAAGGACGAAGGCUUUGUGUCACCAACAGGAUUAGAUACCCAAGCAGUCUUAGCAGACAAUUAUGAAUGCCAUAGGUAAGAAGAAAAGACAUUUAUUUUUUCUUUUUUUGGCAUAAUUUAUAGAUAAUAUAAAUAAAAAAAGAAAUAGGAUGUCACAUUUCUUUUUUUGGCAUAAUUUAUAGAUAAUAUAAAUGAAAAAAGAAAUAGGAUGUAACAUUAUCUAUAAAAGAUGAUGUUUUUUUUGUCUAUAAAUGAAAGUGUAAGCAUUCCACCUCAAGAGUAAUGUGGCAACGCAGAAACUGAAAUCAUUAGACCGUUUCUGAAACCAGUAGUGAAGUAUGUUGUUUAAUUAGAUGG
rnacentral:rRNA from 1 species